ensembl:lncRNA
GUCGGUCCCUCUUGACUCAGUGCUGUCUGGGAAUGCAGUAGCCAGCUUGGCAAGGGUGGGGCUCGUCACCUCCCUAGACACAGAGGUGACAUGAUGGUGUCACACAGUCUUGUGGUGGUAAAGAUCUGAGGCUUGGUGUUGUAAAACAGCGACCCCAAGGAGAAAGUUUGUGUUUCCAUGUACAUCACAGCCUGUCACCUCCCCACCCUGUGCUCAGGGCGCUGGGGUUACUGAGCAUCCUUCCCGAAAACUCAAAGACUUGCUGCCUUCGGCUCAACCCAGACCAGACUGACAGCUGGUUCGCCUUUGAAG